CUCCCCUCAACCUCGUCUUGGGCAUUCUCCCACGUGGCCAUUCCUGAGUUGGAUUCUGUAUAAUCAACCACUAACAGAAGCUGGAGUACUGGCUGGUGUCAGGAGGAAAAGCCUUGAGGGGCUAAGAGCCAGCACGGCUGAAACAGACCACACAGAGGAAGUGGAAGAGGAGACUGCACCCAGCAGAAACAGCCCAUUGGAGAUCCACGCGCCUGCAGAUGUGCUGA